GCCAAAUUACAAGCAAUGAAAGAAACAACAAAUAUGGAAGAAAAAUAAAGAACAAAUGACGUNUUGCAGCUUUGGCUUCUCUCAAGAAAUGAAAUGUGCUGAAAAUGAUCACUCAAGCAAAGGUCAUAGCUGCAAGGUGGAUUUUCUGUUUUGUAACCGUGAGCAAGCAAAGAAUUCUACUGUCAAGCAUUAUGCAGUUUGCUGUCACAUAAGAGGCUUCCAAUAUUGACAAUUCUGCUGCACUAGAAAGCCAUCACGCCUUGCGGUUUCCACCAAUUUCCCACUUCUUAGAAUGCUACCAAAAUGAAGGAACCUCUGGCUAGGCCAAUCCCACGUAGUUAAACCUCCGAAUGAUCACAGGAUAACAUUAGCUCAAGGGAGAAAAGAUGAAACUGUUGUCCAGAAAUGCACCAGAAAUUACUGCACUACAACACCUUUUAUCAAAUAGGUGGUAGGCAAGAAGACCAAAAACUCAAAUUAAAGCAAUAAAAGGAAAUUCAAACACGGUGGCACAUCAAAAUGAACCUAGGAAUAGAUCUAGAGCAGAUUAAUAAAGCAAGAAAUCAAAACAAGCUGCAGAAGAAUUGAAAUGGAAGGCAAAUAAAAUUUGGUUGAAAUUGUUUGAUAAAUUGUCUGAGAGAAAAAAACAGUUUGGUGCACCAGAAUUUGCAAAUUCACUUGUACUGGCCAAUCAACUAUUAUUUCACAAUAUUUAUUUCUAUAUUCUUGUUUAUUUUCAUCUUUUCUUUCUUUCCAAUGUUCAAUACACUUGGCCAAGCUUUUGCUAUAAGUUGAAUUGACUAAAAUGCACCAAAUCAAAUUACUCAAUCAAAUUGGAAUCAGGCAGCUUGUUCUCAAACAUUUGUUGACUAAAAUUGAUGGUUGAAAGAGUGAAAUUGUGCAGAGUUGUUAGAAGUCAAAUUUUGUUUGCAUAACCAAGUUUCAAUAGCCAAUACAAACUUGCUGAAAUGAAAAAUUGAUGCAAAAACAACUUUAAACAAAUUUUGACUUGUUCAACUCCUUUUAUGCAGCAAACUAGUAAGUCAACCAUCCAAAUUUUAGUGCACAUAUUCAAAUGACCUGUGGACACUGAAAUGCAUCCAAUUACAACAACUAAAACUUGAUGAAAACACUGGAAUAGAAUUUAAAGAAGUUCAGUAAUGAUCUAAUACUGAAACAGAUUUGGAAAACAAAAAAAAUUAACCUAAUCAACAUGAUGCAGUUCGGUCAACUGUAGAAUGGAUGCAAUGAGCAUGUUUCAAUGAUGCAACCACGUUAAUUGCAGACACAAAUUAGUGCUGAUACAGUGUGCAUUCAGCUUUGGCUCAAGUGAUGCAUCUAAUUACAUAUCCAAAUCAACAUUACUGUUAUAUUACAAAUCCAAAUUACUGCACAGACUUAUAACUCUAAAUUGGCAUCACAAAUCAUGCAUCUGAGCUCUUCAUUUAAUCAUAGCUCCUUUACUAUGCAGAUAGUGAAUACACAACCAGAUUAUACAACAUAUGCAAAAAUCAGUCAAGAUUUAAAGUGCCGAAACAGAUUUCAAAACAGAAUCAAAUAGUGCAACAAUUGGUUCUGCAUAAUGGUGGAAUUCAAGAUGUACUAGAGCUCCUUAAUCAUUGCUCAUCUGAUGUACUCUUAUUGAAAAUUCCAAUCCAACCAGCAGGUUUAUCCAAGCACGAAAAGGACUUAGAAAUUUGACAAAAUUAAACAAAUACACAUGACUAAGACAAAAUAGAAACAAAUUAAAAAAUUAAAGAUUCAAAUAAGGAAGUGGCCGAAUAAAAUGAUGAAUCAAAAGAAAACAAGCAAAGCUGGAAUGAAUGAAGACUCAACAGAAACCUAUGAUUCAGAAUAAAGCAACGAAAUAGUACAAAAAUUCAUUCAAACAUGAAGGAACAAACAACGAAACAGUAUUAAAAUGAAAGAAUUGGACUCAGCUGGAGCGUGCCGUGGAACAACCGUGGCUCUGAAUACCACAUGAUACGCUCCAAAUUGCAGUAGCAACAUUUGACAACAUGGUUCUCUAUGUGAAAACAAAUGGCAGCGGAAGUAGAUGAAAGUGUGCAGAUGAAGUGCUGUUUGGAAUGGCAUCUAACUCAGACGGCUCUCCAUGCUUGGAAAGAAGCUAGAGGGAAAUUGGGGGAAGCACAGGAAGGUGACUUUCAGAUUGAGAAAAGGCUAGAAAUGCUUCAGCAAAUUCAUUUCUCAAAGGUUCAAAAGUGAUGGUAUAUGCUAAUAAAAGCAAUUUAUAGCCAAAAUGUGUAGCCCAUGAAUGAUGCUGAUUAAAACUAGAUAAACACAUAUUUCAACACGUGGCAGUGGUGUGGAAUAUGUGUUCAUGCUUCUGGAGGAGGCAAAGCCGUGCGUGGAAGUGCAGCAGCAAAUGGUUACUGCCAAAACACGUUUCUGAUGCAACGUGUAAGCAUGUGCAUUUCUUGAGACAACUCCAAUCUUGCUAAACUCACCCCCAUCUGUUGUGCAAAAGACACUUUUGUCCUUCUUCUGGUUUGGUGGACUUUAUUUAUUUGGGAUUGGGCCCAGCGUAUCACUUUCAGUUUCAAUUGAUUCUUAACAUAUCCCUUUAAGAUAUUCAUGUAUCUUUCAACCGGGUACAUCCACCUAAAGAAAACCGGCCCACAUAUUCAAAUUUCUCUCACUAGAUGGACAACCAAAUGAACCAUGAUAUCAAAAAAUUACGGUGGGAAAUACAUUUCCAAUUGGCAUAAUAGUCUGAUGGCCUCAUUUUCCAAAUCAUCUAACUGUCGGGGAUCAACAACUUUUUUGCAUAUGGCAACGAAAAACAAGGCUACUAAUAUUCGACAAAUAACCUUGUGGAACCUAAAAUUAUUGCAUUAAGAUAUGACAAUCAUGAGACUUUAAACCAACUAACUUUAAAUCUUUCAUAGAAACAAGGCUACUAAUAUACGACGAAUAACCUUGUGGAACCUUCACACUAUGUAAAAAUUGACAAAAAAAUUGCUUUUCUUUUUUUGAAAGAGUGUGACAAGCUGGAGGAAGAUAGGUGCGUCUUCCUAUGGAUUAUGGAUGUAACUCAGAACAGAUUCCCAUGUCAACCAAGUCCCUUCAUGCUUUCACUCCAUCUUUUGUCUUUCCUUUAACGUUUAGUAAAGUCCCAACAACACUAUCACAUACAUUUUUUUUCAACAUGCAUCACGUCUAUGCAAUGUUGCACAUCAAGUUUACACCAAUAUGGAUAUUAAAGAAUAUUGAGCGCUUUUUCCAAAUGUUUUUUCUCAAUGGUCUUCUUUUUAUGUUUUCCGAAGACAACAUCAAUGUUCCUCAGCUGGUUGUAUACUUCUUCCCCAUUACAGGGUCUGGACACUGCAUCAUCUUUAGGACUUCCAUUAAAUGUUUUUUUCAAUCUACGGUAAGGGUGAUUUCGAGGAAGGAAUCUUCAGUGUCUUGUGUACACAGUUUUCUACCCAUGCUUCAGUUGAAGAUAACCAGUAUUUUCUUCACAAAUUGGACAUGCAAAACGACCUCUAACAUUAUAACCACUCAAGUUCCCAUAUGUUGGGAAAUUAUUUAUGUUGCAAGGCAAUAUUGCACGCAAACGAAAGUUUUCUUCUGAAUAUGAAUCGAAGACCUCGACGUCCUCUUCCUAUAAUGAAUUUUCUCUUCAUGCAUAACAUAGGAGAUAGAUUGUAAAUCAUCAAAAUAACUGACCAUGAACUAUGUUUGCUACUUAAGUUGCCAUAAGGACUCAUACCAUUGGUAGCAAGUGCAAGUCUUAAGUUUCUUGGCUUUGCACUAAAUUCGGGAAAUGUGCCAUCAAUGUUCUUCCAUUGUGGCGAAUAAGUUAGGUGUCAAAAAAGAUUAUCACAUUUUCUUCCAUCAACGUGCCACAUAAGAUUAUUCGCAUCUUCUUUAACAGAAAACAAUCGUUUCAACCUAGGUACUAUAGGUAAAUACCACAUGACCUUAGUCGGUGGACCUUCAUUAUGUUCAUCGUUAUUUCCAUCAAGUUUUUUCUUAAAUCGUGACGAACCACACGUCGGACACACCUUCAUUGUUUUGGAAAACAAGUAAGCUUCGUUUUUACAGCAAAAUGGGGGGGGGGGUGAAUUGGUGAUGUUUCAAAAAUAAUAUCUUUUCGCAAUCUUUUAUCGAAAGUACAGAGCUUUUCAAACCUUCUUGAAAUGCAAGUAAUGAAAAUUUAUAUGCAGCGGAAAAAUGUAGUUGACUGCAUGAAAAGUAAAGUCGACUGGAAUUAAAUAGUGCAGGGAUAGAGAAAAUCAAAUGCUGAUUUUUAUAUUUGUUCGGCCAACAAUGCCUACAUCUAGUGUACUUCAAAACCUGGAAGCAAAUGCACUAUAAUGGUUGCGGUUUUAUAGAAGACCUCACGUCAAAAAUAUAAAUCUCCUCUCUAACCUAAAACCAAAAUAUAGCUGCAAUAAUAAAAACCAGACUUACAACAAGAAUCCCCUCUCCUGCAAUCUGAACACCACAUCGAACAAUCCUCAACGUGAAACCCCUGUAUCACAACAGGUCCAAUUCCAGCAGUCUUCACAGGAUGCCAAGCCUCAACAAGUGCGGUAUUAUUCAAAGGAUGUCAAGCCUGAAGUGAUCAACCCAGAAGCACCUUCUUUGUGCAGUAUUUGAUCAGAACAUGAAUGCGCAAGUUAUCUUAUAACAGAGAAUUCAAUCUAAAACAAGAAUGAAAAUGUUAGAUCCUCAAAAGUCUCUGAACAACUCGUGUUCAACCAAUUUAUAGUUUUCUGUCUAUCAGAUUGUUUCUCAGUCGAAUAGGCUAUUAAUUCAGUCGAUUGUAUUAUUACAGUUAUAACAGACAGUCAACAUAGUAGCUCUCAGUCAACCAAAAUCAACACACAUUUAAUACAAUCGAACAAGUCAUCAAUGCUCAACUAAUGUUUAAAAAUAUAGCCUUUGGAGCGCAAGAGCAUAACAUAAUUCCAAAUCAGAUCAAAACCUCAGUCGAAUAUAAACUAGACAAAGUCGACUAACACAUGUAAAAACACUUUGAAAUUCUUUUCAAGUCAAAACAUCACAGAGCACUGAUUCUCAAAAUCUGUACAAAGAUUUUAGCAUAGUCGAAUCCAUUAAUAAUGUAGUCCACUAUUCUAUAACUUUGUCACACAAUUAUAAGUUCAUGAAAGUGCUUGUGGUUUUUCACUUUAAAAAAUGUGCAGUAAAACAUAUGUAAUAAAGCAUUUCACAUUGCACAUAAGCAUGUAAGCAUGUUCCACAAAUAUAUCAAACAAUCAACAUAGGAACAUACAACACAGUACAUCAAACAUUUUCAGCAGAUAUAACAAUCAAUUCAGCAUUAGAACAUGUAAUGCAACAACAUGUGUACUGUUAUUAAGCAAUCUGUUGUCAUCAUAAAAAACUAGAGUGAUAUAGAGUUUGUGUUGUCAACAAUCUCAACAAUCUCCCCCUUUUUUUAUGAUGCACAACCAUGAUUAAUAACUCAACCAUGUUUGUACAGUUCAAUACAAGACAAAGUAAUAGCAUAUUAGCAAAAAAUUUAGCACAGUUCAAUUACUCUGCAUUUAAACCAGUAGCAGUACAAUGUCAAGCAGAUGAAGUAUGAGACAAAAUAACUAUUCUCCCCGUUUCACAAAGCUUUCAUAAUUUCUCUCAUACUCUCAUAUUUCUCUCCCCCUUUGUGCAUUAACAAAAAAGGAUUGCUCUAGAUAUUUAUGCUGAUAUGAAAACAGAGAUGCAUCAGAAAGAUAUUCAAAGUAUAAAAUACAAUGAUGCUCUCACAAUCACAAUUUAAUCACAUAACAAUGUUAACUCCCCUGAAAUGCAGACAUGUGUUGUAAAAUGUGUUAAGAGUGAUACUUCCCCUGUCAUUAUGCAUAAGUAAUAAAUUUAACACAGAUGCACAAUGCAGCAUAUCACAGAUUAAACAACAGUUUAGGACAUAGUUGUAUCAAAGACAAGAUAGCAAAUAAUUUAGAUAUGCAAUGAUACAAUCUUCAACAAUCUCAUAAUAUUAUCUCAAUUAAGAUAUUUGCAACAGAUAAAGCAGGGAUAAUAGUAGAUAUAUCAAAUUUAAGCAAUCAGCAAAGAUAAAACCAUAUUCCAGAUGUGGAAUUUAUAAUCCUGUUAUACGCAGUCGAUUGGAUUAAAUCAUUAGUCGAAUGCAUUGCUUCUCAAAUGUUGAAUUCUAUUUGUAGCUUCCAAAGCAAUGUCCUUCCUGCAAAAACUUUCAAAGAUCCUUUCCAGAUCAAGCACUUUAGUUAUGCAAGAAAAAAAUAGUCAUGAAUAACUGAAGUCAAUAUGUGCAGAUAUAAAACAGUUCAAGCAUAUUUGACUUCAAAUAAGACAUAGUCGAAUCAAUCAAUCAAUGUAUCAGAUGUUUAAACAGCCAUAUUAAAACAAUUUGAGAUUGAUUCAAAAUACUAAUUUCAUUUCCUUGAAAAGAUAUUACAUUGAUAGGAUCAGACAAGGAAAACUAAAAGACAACAAAAGAUGGCAUUAUAAGCCAUACACAAAAGAGACUUUGUUAAGAUAGAACUGGUGAUGUGUAUCAUUCAUUCCUUUCCUUCAAUUACUGAACUCAUGGAUAUACUUUCUUUUUUAUUCUUAUGCUUCAGAGGUUGCAUAAUGAAGUUUAUCUUUGACUCCAGUUGUUCAAGCUUAUCACCAAACAGUUGAAAUAGAUCAACAAAAUAGGUUUCAAGGCAAUUGUUAGACACAAAGUUGAGUUUAAGAGUUCUAGGUGAAGAGAUUUCUCCAAAAAAGUUUGUCUGGUAAUUAUCCUCAUCAUAAUGCCAGCCUUUAUCACUCUAGACAAGUCCAAGUGAGUCAAGAAUGUUAAAGUUUAUGAUAUUUGUAUUUGUGCUUGAGUACUUUCUUUCACCAGAGACAUUUACUCCAUGAAUUAUUAAUAUGUUACUAACAAGAACGCCAUAUGGAAAAUGUCGAACAAAAAAUUAAGUAACCUUGAUCAUAUGGUCCUUCUGUACUUCUAUCGAGUUGGUGGGAAUGUUGUUCUUAAUGGCAUGUAAGAGAUAUACAUCUUCAGCAGUCAUUUCGUCCAGCAUUAGUCUCCUUGGUAGAAUCACCUAUGCCAAAAUGUAUGCCAAUAACAUUUCCUCAGUCUUAAGGUCUUUAUGGCGAAACAUGUUCUCCCUUGCUUCACUAAUAGGAACUCUGAGCCAACCUCUAAAUAUAUCUUUUUUAUCUAACCAGCGAUUUUCUGAGAAUCAUGUUUAUGCGAGAGGAUUCCAUCGGGUUUGAGACCAGUUGUCUGUAGCCAAAUAUCAUUGUUGAUGAUGAUAUUAACACCUUUGACUCUUGAAGUAAUGUUACCAUCAAUAAUUCUCAAAUGAUGAUAGAAAGCUCUGACAAGGUCAGGAAACCAUUCUCCAUUCAUAUGUACCAAGGUAGACAAAUUUUGUUUCUCAAUCCAUCCAGGAAACUUAAAAUUUUCUUUUUCAAAAAGCCUCGGAUCCAGAUAUCUUGGGUGGAGUAACUUCCUUUGGAUAUUCCAUAUGGAUUUUCACAUCAGAGUCUUUAUCACAAAUUAAAUCUUCAGUAUCAGCUCCCUUGAACAUGGCAAUGGAUUUUCCUUUUUCCUUUCUUGUGAGAUGAGUUUUGGAAGCCAUUUUUCGACUUGUUCAAUACACCCAGAGUUCAGUCAAGGGUCAUUGGAAGUACACAAAUAAGGUGUGUUCUGGUGUCAGAAAAGAGUGCAACAAUGACAUCAUGGAUAGAAAUGGCGCGAAAGAUCAAAAGAAACUCAUAAGAAAGUUUGAUAAAAUAUUGUGAGUGUAGAUGUCAUAAAACAGGAACAUAGUUGAAUGAAUUAAAAUCAUUGACGGCUAAGACACAUGAAAAACAAAGUUUUACACAUAAUCAAUCAAUCAAUUACACAAACAAUAUAAUCAUAUCAUCACACAACAACAACCAAUGCAGUUCAGCUAUAAUGCAGUAAAUUGAUACAGAUUUACCAGUUGUAGAUUCUUAAGAAAAUGAUUUUAAUUCAGAUUAAUCCAUCCUUGAGAUCACACUGCACCAACUGUGUAUCUUGCAAAACAACUAAGUUUUGGUUGCUGGUACCCAUUUGACUUUAGGUCCAUGAUUGUUAAUCCUUGUCACUUGUGCCUUUGGUUUCAAAACAUAUAAUUUUUUAGGAACAACAACAUUUCUAUAAUAACAAUUUCUAACAGUAUGACCAACACAAUUACAAUAGAAACAUGCAUUUCUAGCAGGUUUACUUAAAUCAAUAAAUUUCCUAGCAUUGGGUCUGUUAGAUUGAGCUUUGUAGCCUAUUCCUUAUUUAUGAAUAGCUCUGCUAGAUGAUUUUAGUACAACAUCUAAAUUGUCUCUACCUUUAGUAAACUUAGCUAGCGUGCUAGUUAAGUAACUUAUCUUUUCAAUAUGAGCAAGACAAUUUUCACAAAGUUUGUCUACUGUAACAGUUUCAAUCUUGGCAUUUUUAGCAGAUAACAAAGCUUCAUUUAACUCUUUUUCUAAUUUCUCAUUUUCUGCAACAAGGUUAUUAAUCCUGUAUUCAUAAUCUCUUCUUUCAGAUUUCAGUCGAUUAACCUUAUAUCGCAGUCGCAUAACUUCAGCAUGCUACUCUUUGAAUGCAUCUUGCAGCAGAUCAUACUUGACUUCCACUGGUUCAUUUGAGAUGUCUGCAUCGUUGUCAUAAUCGUCCCAAGUAACUCCAGUCAUUUAGCACAGAUUUGAUUCCACCUCUUGAUCAAAAUCUUCAUCACUUGAGCUUUCAGAAUCUGAGUUCUCCCAAGCAAUGUAAGCUCCUUUCCUCUUCAUAUUUCUGCCUUGAGUGAAUCUUUUCUUUCCUUUCUGCUUGGGCUUUAAGUCAGGACAAUCAGGCUUGAUGUGACCUUCCUUUCAACAUUCAUAGCACUUGACAACAUUUGUAUUGAAGCUCUUCUUUUUGCUUUGACCUGCAUGGUUAGAUAAUUGACUAUCAUUUUGCAUAAGUCUACUAAAUUUUCUUACCAUCAAGGUCAUCAGUUCUUUCUCGUCCAUAUCUAUUUCAAAGUUGUUCUUGCUUGAAGCCUUCAGAGCAAUGGACUUCUUUUCUUCAAUCUCCUCUUCAUCCUUCAGUCUACCAAGUUACAAUUCACGUUCUCGUAACUUGCCAAACAAGGUAGCCAUGUUCAUCAUUGUGAGAUCUUUGGAUUCAGAGAUUGCUGUGACUUUUGGUUGCCAAUUCCUGUUCAGACUUUUCAAAAUCUUGAUGUUGAUCUCUUCCUUAUACAAUGUGAGUGAAUCGUUUCUGUACAUCAUAGAUGUUUUCACCAGCUUUCAUUCUGAACAAUUCGUACUCUUGUAUCAGGGAGUUCUUUCUAGCUCUCUUCACUUCAUCCGUGCCUUCAUGAGUUUCCUCGAAGACAUCCCCCAUUUCCUUUGCAGACUUUCAUUGAGAUAUCCUGAAAAAUUCAUCAAUUGUCAGUGUAGACGCAAUUAUAUUUUUAGCUUUAACAAUAUACUGAGCUUUUCUAUUUUCAUCAUGUCAACACCCAAUUUCUCCAGGUGACUAUAAUAAGACUAUUUUUUAUUUUUGUCUUAUUUUAUUUUAUUUUAAUUUUAUUUUAUUUUUGUUUUAUUAUUUUUAAUUUUUGUUUUACUAUUUAGUAUUUGAUUUAGUUUUUUUAUUAUUGGAUUUAAUUGAAAAAGGAAAAAGAAAAGAAAACAAAGAAAAAAAUGAAGAUUGAAAAAAAAGAAAAAGAAAAAAAAGAAAUAAAGAAAUAAAAAAAAAGAGAAAAGAAAAACAAAACAAAAAAAAAAGAAAAGAAAAAAAGGGGCAACGUGAUCAUCACUCACUCACUGGGUAGCACUCAAUACGGGCAUAACAGAAAUUCCCUUUUGGCUGCUGUUAACGGAUUGACAAGCAUACCAAAUCGUAUCAAGUAAUAAUAAAAGGUAAGUCCAAGUAUCGUUUUCCCAAGAGACUCGAAAGGCCUUAUCGUUCGUGUGAAUUAAGAUUGUAACACUUGAAAAUAUAAAUUAAUUAAUUGGGUAUGAGAACAAAAUAUAAACAUGCAAAAGAGAUUGAUUCAAUUGACGAAAAGAAAACGAUGGAUGAAUGGAGUUGUCGGGGGUUUACAAUUUCAUCUUAUCCGCUCUCUCUUAUUUACUCCUCUUGAUUUAUUUGCUUGAUUAAUUAAUAGUCAUGCAACUUUCUUAGCCUACCCUUAAACCGAUCCCUCGGCGAAAAUAGCCUAUUACUAAUUACUGGCUUGCUAUCCCUAGCCUCCCCUAGCAAUUAAUAAUGCAUUAUAGAGCAGAAGUGAAAAACAAUUGAUCGUCCUACCCCUAUCCCUAGGUGGUAUUGCUUAAUCAAGGAAUUACUCACCAGUUCAUGACAUUACUGUACGUCCCCGUAUCAAUANNNNNNNNNNNNNNNNNNNNNNNNNNNNNNNNNNNNNNNNNNNNNNNNNNNNNNNNNNNNNNNNNNNNNNNNNNNNNNNNNNNNNNNNNNNNNNNNNNNNNNNNNNNNNNNNNNNNNNNNNNNNNNNNNNNNNNNNNNNNNNNNNNNNNNNNNNNNNNNNNNNNNNNNNNNNNNNNNNNNNNNNNNNNNNNNNNNNNNNNNNNNNNNNNNNNNNNNNNNNNNNNNNNNNNNNNNNNNNNNNNNNNNNNNNNNNNNNNNNNNNNNNNNNNNNNNNNNNNNNNNNNNNNNNNNNNNNNNNNNNNNNNNNNNNNNNNNNNNNNNNNNNNNNNNNNNNNNNNNNNNNNNNNNNNNNNNNNNNNNNNNNNNNNNNNNNNNNNNNNNNNNNNNNNNNNNNNNNNNNNNNNNNNNNNNNNNNNNNNNNNNNNNNNNNNNNNNNNNNNNNNNNNNNNNNNNNNNNNNNNNNNNNNNNNNNNNNNNNNNNNNNNNNNNNNNNNNNNNNNNNNNNNNNNNNNNNNNNNNNNNNNNNNNNNNNNNNNNNNNNNNNNNNNNNNNNNNNNNNNNNNNNNNNNNNNNNNNNNNNNNNNNNNNNNNNNNNNNNNNNNNNNNNNNNNNNNNNNNNNNNNNNNNNNNNNNNNNNNNNNNNNNNNNNNNNNNNNNNNNNNNNNNNNNNNNNNNNNNNNNNNNNNNNNNNNNNNNNNNNNNNNNNNNNNNNNNNNNNNNNNNNNNNNNNNNNNNNNNNNNNNNNNNNNNNNNNNNNNNNNNNNNNNNNNNNNNNNNNNNNNNNNNNNNNNNNNNNNNNNNNNNNNNNNNNNNNNNNNNNNNNNNNNNNNNNNNNNNNNNNNNNNNNNNNNNNNNNNNNNNNNNNNNNNNNNNNNNNNNNNNNNNNNNNNNNNNNNNNNNNNNNNNNNNNNNNNNNNNNNNNNNNNNNNNNNNNNNNNNNNNNNNNNNNNNNNNNNNNNNNNNNNNNNNNNNNNNNNNNNNNNNNNNNNNNNNNNNNNNNNNNNNNNNNNNNNNNNNNNNNNNNNNNNNNNNNNNNNNNNNNNNNNNNNNNNNNNNNNNNNNNNNNNNNNNNNNNNNNNNNNNNNNNNNNNNNNNNNNNNNNNNNNNNNNNNNNNNNNNNNNNNNNNNNNNNNNNNNNNNNNNNNNNNNNNNNNNNNNNNNNNNNNNNNNNNNNNNNNNNNNNNNNNNNNNNNNNNNNNNNNNNNNNNNNNNNNNNNNNNNNNNNNNNNNNNNNNNNNNNNNNNNNNNNNNNNNNNNNNNNNNNNNNNNNNNNNNNNNNNAAGUAAUCAAUAGUUUCAAUAAGAGAGAGUAUCAAAAGAUUACAUUGUAUUCCCCAACAACAAUAGGGUUUAGUUCACCAUGGACAUGGUGAAACUAGAUGAAAAAUGGAAGAAGAAUGAAAGAGCAAACCCUAGAAAAGAUGAAAAGGAGCCUAAGCAUCCAAGGGAUCCUCUCUAGAGAGCAAAUUUAGGUCUGGCCGUCUUCCCCUGUCAAAAGAAUGACUCUGAAUUCGUAGUAGGGGUAUUUAUAGGUGAGGAGCGCUUCAAAAUCAGGCCCAAGUCCAGCGUGCCACCGUCGGGCGGUUUAAGUGUGCUGCCCGGCGGUUUCCCAUAACCUGCCACCACCGCCCGGCGGCAAUCGCCAGUGCCCGAUGGUUUCUCUCAGCUUGAGAUGCUGCCUACUCCUCGUCCUAGACCGCCCGACGGUUUAAGUGUGUCGCCGGGCGGUACGUCGACUCUUCAAAACUUCAUUUUUUUGUUCUUUUCUUGAGUCAACGACUUGUAUCUCCAACUCCAUUCUUCACUUUUCUCAAAUUAGCUUCAAAACAAUGCAAAACAAGCAUAAAAUUGCUAAACACAACUUUUGACUCUCUCCAGACUCAUUUAUUGAGUUUUGCUUGAUUCUAAGCUCGUUCCGAGUAGUAAAGGGUGUAAUUUGGUCCAAAUUGACAUAUGAAAAUCACUGUUUUUCAACCUUCAUCCGUCGACUCUUCAUUUCUUCAUUUUUCUUCCCUUUUCUUGAGUCUACGACCUUCAUCUUCAAUUCCAUUGUUCACCUUCUCAAAAAUGCUACAAAACAAUGCAAAACAAGCAUAAUAUCGCUACAAAUAGCUUUUGACUCUCUACAGACUCAUUUAUUGAGUUUUCUUGAUUCUAAGCUCAUUCUAAGCAGUAAAGGGAGUAAUUUGGUCUAAAAUGACAUAUGAAAAUAACUGUUUUUCAACCUUCAUCACCACCCCAAACUUAGAACUUUGCUUGUCCUCAAGCAAACAAAACAAAACAGCAAACAAAACAAAGCUUGGCUUCAUACUAUUUCAUCCAAUGAUUCAACACUCCUAAAGUACAUGACAAACACUACUCAAUCUCAAAACUUUAGUGAAAUCAAAUUAAGAUGCAUGCAUGCUUUCAAUCCAGAGAUUGCACAACAGAUGUUACACAUUAUGAAUGACCAAUCUACUAAGCACAAAUGCACUCAUGAAAAACAGUUAUUUUCAUAUGUCAAUUUGGACCAAAUUACACCCUUUACUACUCGGAUUGAGCUUAGAAUCAAGCAAAACUCAAUAAAUGAGUCUGGAGAGAGUCAAGAGCUGUUUUUAGCGAUUUUAUGCUUGUUUUGCAUUGUUUUGUAGCUAAUUUGAGAAAAGUAAAGAAUGGAGUUGAAGAUAGAGGUCAUAGACUCUAGGAAAGAGCAGAAAAAAAAUGAAGAUUUGAAGAGUUGACGCACCGCCCAACGACAAUGAUAAAGGCUUUUGGAAUGAUUUGAAAAAAUGUUUGAAUUAUCAAAUGGUUGGAGUGCAGAAAAAUCAAACAAAAUGCAGAAAAGUCAACCAGUCAACCAGAAAAGUCAAUCGGUCAACCAGAAAAGUCAACCAGUCAACCAAUUGACCAGAAUGCAGAAAAGUUGACCAGAGCGUAGUUGACCAGCGCUGGGCGGUUGACCGUGGCGUCGGGCGGUUUUGCGGCUUGAGGGAAACCGCCCGGCGGUGAAAUUAGGCGUCGGGCGGUUGUCAGAUGGGCCUGGACCUGUUUUAUGUUAUUUUUUACGAUCUGUUUGGGCUUGGACUUGUUUUAUGUCAUUUUUAUGCCCUAUUUAAAGGCCAGAACGUCUUAGGGUUUGCAUCUUUAAAUGGCUUAGGCACAAAAACACACUUUUCACCCCUUUGGGGCUAGAUUUGGAGAUGGUGGCAGCUCUCCUUUUCUCCUUUUUAGGGUUUCUAUCUCUUUCAUUCCAUUCUUCACCUAGUUUCUCCAUGACGAUGGGGAACUAAUCUUAUUUGUUACUAGGGAAAGAUGUAACCUCUAAACUCUCUUGUAUUUGAAUCAAUUCUUUUUAUUGAUAUAUGCUUACUUCAUUAAUUGUUAGAGUUUUCCUCUUUGCUUAAUGCAUACAUGUUUAACUCAUUCGGUGGUAUGAUCCUUGAUUUUGUCGAUAUGGGGACGUACGGGGAAAUCUAGAACUGGGGAAAUUCUCCCAAAGGUAGUAUUGCCUAUACAUAGGAAUAUGUGGUAAUAUGAGGAUUGGUUGCAUACACACUCCUGUGCUUCAGAAUUAAUUAUUAGGGAUGCUAGGGAUCGUAUGAACUCGUAGUUAAGGAUAGGCUUUCUUACCGGUGACAGCGGUAUUAAGUGUUUUAGAGAGUGGCAUUAACAUUAAUGAAGAAGAGGAAUUCUUAUAUGCAUGAGAGUGAUUAGGUGAAAUCUAACCCCAACAACAUAUUCAUCUCAUAUUCUAAUCUUCAUCCAUCCAUCCAAUUUUGUGUUGAACAUCAAUUGAUCAAAUUGCAUUCAUGUUUAUUUUUCCGUACUUUAGAAAAAUCCCAAAAUAUUAUUUUUAUAGUCUUGAUUGGUUAAGAAAAAGCACAACAGUUUAGUGUCUUGAGUCUCUUGGUAAAACGAUACUUGGACUUACCAUUUAUUAUUACUUGAAACGAUUUGGUACACUUGCCAAUUUGUCAACAGGCAUAUAACGCCAUCUUUUGUGUGUCCUAGGGUGCUUUGUUUUGUCUUUCCUUGAUUGCUCCCACUGAUUUUAAUAUCUCUUAUUCAAGGAAAUGAAAAUUUGCAGUUUGAAUUAAUUCAGUAGUUUGCGAAUCUGUUUGAAUAUCUUUUUUACUGGUUGAAUAAUUCGACUGUGUUAUGAUUGAAGUCAACUUUGCUAUAACUGUCAUGCAUUUUCUUACAUUGACUUUAGAUAUGAUGAAAUAUUAUUCUUGCAUAACCACUAUACUUGAUCUGGAAAAGGUUGUUGAGAGAGCAUCAUUACUAUUUUAAAACUGCAUAUUUGUUUGAUGCUUCUCUGAUUUAAAAUCUGCAUAAAUGUCAAGCAUUCCUUUUUUGUUAAUGCACAAAGGGGGAGAGUUUUAAUAAGUGUAUGUUUGCAAGUCUAUAUGGGGAGAUUUGCUAUAUCAUACUUUAUCUACUUGAUGAUAUUUGUGCUGUAUUUGCAGAGUAAAUGAAUGAUCUGAACUGAUUUUGAAAUCUGUUAUUACUCUGUUAUUUGUGGAAUUGUUCAGAUAUGGUUGCAUUAUUAAUCAUGGUUGUGCAUCAUCAAAAAAGGGGGAGAUUGUUGAGAUUGUUGACAACACAAACUCUAUAUCAAAUUGGUUAUUGAUGAUGACAACACACUGGUUAAUAACAGAACAUAUGUUCCAGAACUACAUGUUAAGUUGAUGUUCUAUACUGUUUUGAACAAUAUCUUUAUUGAACAUGUUUUGUUAUUUUGCAUGGAUGUUCCUAUGAUUGACUAUGUAUCAUAUGUUUGGAACAUGCUUGAAUUGAAAUGUGUGUUAAAAUGAUUUUGAUUACUUUUACAAAAUUCUGAAGAAAAGCUCACAAGUACUUUUAUGAACUUAUAUUUGUUGUGACAAAGGACCAGUUCAGUCGACUAACUUGGUAAUGGAGUCGACUAAGCUAAAAUCUUUGUACAGAUUUUGUGCACGUGUACUUGAUGAGAUUCUGAGAUGAAAAGAAUUUCAAAGUGUUUUUCAUGAGUCAAUCGACAGUGUGAAUCACUCAUUCGACUGUAUUACUGUUUUAUUUGGAAUUCUAUUUUGCCUACUUGCUCCAACGACUAUAAUUUCAAAAGUUAGUUAGGAUUAACUAAUUGGGUCAACUGUCAUAAAUGUGCAUUGAUUUUGUUGACUGAGGAGCCUUAUGUUGACUGUCUGUUAUAACUGAUUUAAUAUAGUCGACUGUAUUAGUAGGCUAUUCGACUGAGACUGACAGGAAACUAUAAAUAGAAACAGAACACGAUUUGUUCUGAGACUUUCGUGAUUUAACAUUUUCAUUGUCCUGUUUCAAAAAAAGCUCUCAGUUUCAGAAGCUCCAUGAAUUCUCCAAGAAGACGGUGGCGAUCUUUAUUGAGAGAGAUUCGGAUUGAGGAGUCAUUUGCGCUUACUGUUGGAUCAACAUCUGCACAAAGAAGGUGCUUCUGGUUUGAUCGUGUAGGCAUUGUUGGCCGAACCAGUAUAAAAAUCAGUGUUUGAUUUUCUCUAUCCCUACACUCUUUAAAUUCAGUCGACUAUACCUGUUUAGCAGUCAACUACGUUUUUCCACUGCAUUACAUUUUUCAAUAACUUGCAUUUCAAGGAAAGAUCAAAAGCUUUGAAUUUUCAUACCAAGAUUGCGAAAAAAGUUUAAAUUUGAACUAACACCAAUUCACCCCCCUCUUGGUGUAAAACGAAGCCAACCUGUUUCCUAACAUAGCAAAGUCUCCUUUCCAAUUUUCUACUCCAUUUUAAUUCUACAUAUGUUGUUCUUAUGUUAUCAUUUACCAGUCCGCUGUUUCUGUCUUUUCAUUUCUAUUUUGAGUUCUAAUUGUGAUUCCAGUUCUGAUUCUCGUGUUUCCAGUGUGUGAGCAUGUUUGUCUUUCAUUUUAAACGGUGAAUUCAAUUUGUUUGAGUCAAUUCCAUCUUCAUUCAUCAAUUUCUGUGUUGUCUUGAUCAUUGAUAACAGAUUAAAAUAUCGUUAUUUGCUAUGUGAUUUUGAUACUAAAAGCACCCUUUUUCACUUAGAAACUUGCAUGAACUCAUAUAUUUUCAGUAAAUUGUGUGAAUAAGAGAGUUGAGGUUGAUUUUAACUGUUUUCUAACAAAUUCCCCUUGUUUUGAUAGAGAUUGAAGCAAUAUUGGAAGAAGAACUGAAAAACCAUGAAGACGGAGCUCAAAAGGGGUCAAAAAGGCAUCAAGAAGGGAGAAAACUCGAAGCCUAGGCGACAGGAACGAAAAACAGCAAAGCUGAAUUCGACGCUGGUUGCCCGGGCGACGGACCCGACGCCCGGGCGACAGACGCUCGAAGCUUGGGCGUCCAAAACUGGCGCCCAAGCCUUACAGAACCCUUGAUUCAUGCUUGGGCGAGCUCCCUAUGACGCUUGAGCGUGAUUUCACGUGGAUCGAGCCUUGAUUCUGCUCUGAUUUGAUUCUUUUGGAUCGGGCCGCACUUUGGGACGCGUCUGGCGCUAUUUAAAUGACCCUCGGGCUCUAGGUUUUGCAUCCCUGGCAGAAGAGAGCAUACAAUACACUCCUAGCCAAUUCUUAGUCUUCCAUUCUUCUUUCUUUUCUUCCAUUGUUCAUAGGUUCCCCCAUGCCUAUAGGGAACUAAUUUCUAUUUGUUGUUGGAGAAUGAUGUAACCCUAUAAACUCUCAUGUAUUUGAAUUGAUUGUUAAUUCUAUAUGCUUUAUGUCAUUAUUUGUUAGAGCAAUUCAUCUAUUUUAUUCUUGCUCAUUGAUAACAGUUGAAAAACUGUUAUUUUCAUACUUAAUUUUGAUAUUAAAUCACACCCUUUAUGGCUUAGAAUUAGCUUGAAAUCAUGCAUUUUUAUUAAGUUAGAGAGUAAGAGAGUCAAAGAUGGUUUUCUUGGUUUUAUAAUUGGUUUCCCUUGAUUUUGUAGGUUUUUGGAAUGAAUUGAAAGAAAGGUUGAAGAUCAAAUGGUUGUAGUGUAGAAAAGUCAAUCAGAAUGCAGAAAAGUCAACCAGAAAAGUCAACCAGUCAACCAGAAAAGUCAACCAGUCAACCAGUUGACUAGAAUGUUGACCAUACCACUGAGCGGUAGUUUUGGGCGCUGAGCGGUCAGUUCUUGGCACUGAGCGGCAGUUUUGGGGGCUGAGCGGUCUUGCGAUUAAAGGGAAACCGCUAAGCGGUUUAAUUAGGCGCUGAGUGGUUAUCUGUUUUUAUUUGGCUCGAUUCAGUUAUCAUUUUGGCCUAUAUAUAGCCCCAGUGCGAAUCAAAACUCAAUCUUUUGGCAGAGAGAAACGUCCAGAGCUGUUCCACACACCUUGGAGGAGGUUCCUUGGAUGCUUAGGCUCUAAUAUACCAAGUUUAGGGUUAUUUCUUCCAUUCUUUCAUUAUAUUUCAUCCAGAUUCACCAUGAUUAUGGUGAACUAAACCCUAGGUUGUUGGGGAACAAUGUAAUCUUUAUGUUUGCAUAUGCUUAUCAUUAUUUUGAAACUCUCAUAUAUCAAAAUUCUUAUCUUCUUUAUAUGUUUGCAUAUGCUUAUCUUUAUCAAUUGUUGGGUUCCUUACCUUUGCUUAAUGCUUUUAUCGUUUAACUCAUUCGGUAAAUGUUGUUUAUCUUUAUUGAUACAGGAACGUACAAUAAUGUCAUGAACUGGGGGGAAUUCCUUAAUUAUGAUAAUACCGCCUAGGAAUAGGGGUAGGACAAUCAAUUGUAUUUUGCUUCUGUUUAUCAUGCAUUAUUAAUUACUAGGGGAGGCUAGGGAUAGCAAGCCAAUAAUUAGUAAUAGGCUCUUUUCUCCAAGGGAUUGGGUUAAGGGUAGACCAAGAAAUUUUGCAUGACAAUAUGAUAAAAAAACGAAUAAGAUAAGAAAAGUAGAUAUAAGAGGGUGAAUAAGAUGAAAUAAGUGUUUUCACGAGGGAUCGGGUUUAAGUGUUUUCACGAGGGACGUUAGCAUUAAUGAAUAAAGAAGAAUUCUUAUAUACAUGAGAGGGAACUUGGUGAAGUCUAACCCCAACAGCAUACCCAUCUCAUAUAAAUCAACCUCCGUUCAUCUCUGUGCUCUUUUACCACUGAUCAAUUGCAAUUUAUUUUCUUUAUUAUUUUUGCACAACAAAUACAUGAUCUUCGUUAUUUUUAGUCUUGAUUAAUCUUGUUUUCACACAACUGUUUAGUGUCGAGAGUCCUCUAGGAUACUAUACUUGGUCUUACCAUUUUAUAUUACUUGUGCGACUCAGUACACUUGCCAAUUUGCCUCAACAAGUUUUUGACGUCGUUGCUAGGGAUUCACGAUUUAAGCAAUUCUAUUUAUGUGAUUCUUUAUUGAUUUUGACUUUAUUUGACUUUAUUUUAUUUUAUUUUAUUCCACCAAUUUCGAUUUUCCAUUUUUGUUUUUAUUUUUUUCAAUCCCCAAUCUCCAUUUUUAAUUAAAAAAAAAAAUUAUUAUUAUUUUUUAUUUAUCACUAACAAUCUCUCUCUAGAAUUUCUGUGCAGGUCUCACAAUAUGCUCUUACAAGAUGCAAUUUUACCAGGAUAAUUUCAACUACUGGUGGGAACCCUACCCAAGUACAAAUCAAAGUCAAUAUGAGCAAGUUAAUGGACUAUUCACUAGUCCAACACAAGCUGAUAGUACUACAAAGCUUGAGGAAACUCUCAAACACUUCCUAAAAGACUCUAUCUCAUUUCGGAAAAAUAUUCAGGCCUCAUAAAAAAAUUUGGGGCUCGGUGCAAGGUCCUAAGUCAAAUGCUGACUGAGAUCACAAACAACCAAAGACCUCAAAAGGAAUGUAAAGAGGUUGUCAUUGAAAGUGACAAAGUCCCAAAUGAGGAAAGAGAAAAAGAAGAAAAGGAGGAUGAGAGAAAAAUAGAGAGAAAAGAGGAAGAGAGUUUGAGCUAUGAAGAACAAGAAAAAGAAGAGAAAGAGGAUGAGAUAAAAAGAGAGAGAAGAAGAAGAAGAAAGUUUGAGUGAGAAAGAGAAAGAGGUAAAAAAGGAAGAGGAUGAGAGAAAAGAAAAAGAAUGUUUGAGAGAGAAAAGAGAAGGAAGUAGAGGAAGAAAAAGAAGGGGUUGAAAAAGAAAAUAGAAAAAUUGAGAAAAGUCCUUUGUGUCCUGAGGAGUGUCCCAAGGAGAAAGAGAGAGGGAGGAAGAAUGAAAGCAAAAAGAAAGAAUCAUAUCAAAAACCCCUUCCUCACCCAAAGAAGGAUCAUAGGAAGAAAAAGGAAAAACAGUUUGAGCGUUUCAAGGAAAUCUUCAAGAAAUUGGAGAUUAAAGUUCCUAUGAUUAGGACACUACAGCAGGUUCCUGUGUAUAUUAAAUUCCUAAAAAAAUUCAACAAAAAGAAAAAAUAUCUUGUAUCCAAUCUCUAAAUUUUUUAUUUUGUUUUAUUCUAUUUUUUUCUUUUAUUUUAUUUGAUUUCAUUUUAUGUGAUUUUGAUUGGAUUGGAUUUGAUUUUAUUUUAUUUUAUUUGAUUUUGUUUGAUUUGAUUUGAUUUUAUUUUAUUUAUUUUAUUUGAUUUGAUUUGAUUUGAUUUUAUUUGAUUUUAUUUAUCCUAUUUUAUUUUAUUUUAUUUUAUUAUUUGUGUGGUUUGGAUUUGAUUUUGUUUUUGUGUGUUUGAGUUUUCUUUAGGUUAUGUGUUGCUUCUGAUGGCAGUUCUGACAGUGUCUACUGAUGGAUGCUUAUGAAGAAGAGAAAAAUUAACAUCUACUAAAGGAUGUUGAUGAGAAAGAUUCGCAUAUACUGAUGGAUGUUGGAAGAGUUUGAGAUAACAUCUACUGAUGGAUGCUGCUAUGGAAGAGGAUGGUGACUAGACAUCUACUGAUGGAUGUUAGGUGAUUAGGCAUCUACUGAUGGAUGCCAAUAAAGAUGAGAAAGAUUGGUGUCUACUGAGGGAUACCAAUGAAGACAAGUAAAAUUAGCAUCUACUGAUGGAUGUUAUGUGAUUAAACAUCUACUGAUGGAUGUUACUAACAACAUCUACUGACGGAUGCUAUGAUGAGCCUAUUGGGUCAAGCUAGUGACGUUAAAGAAGCGCUCGCUGGGAGGCAAUCCAGUUCUCCGAACUUUUACUUUUAAUUUUUAUUUUCGUUUUUGGUUUUAAUUUUUGUUCUAUUCCAUUUUUUUUUUGUGCUCUGCUUGAAUGAACUAAACUGCUCUGAUUCAACUGUGCCUUUUUUGUGUGAUAAGUUUUGCUUUAUGAGAUUCUAGUGUUUGAUUAAAGUUGAGAUGAUGCAUGAUGUGUUAAAAGUGAUGAAUCCCAAUUUGUGAGACAGGUGCUUGAAAUAAAGUUUGAUUAAAAUACUGAGCAGGUUGUUUUUCUGAAUUUGAGAACUUGUGAGUGGACCUGUGUGAGUUUUGAGCUUCAGAGUUGUUCUUAAAUAAUUGUGUUACUUUGGAAGCAUGAAUGGUUUUGCCCAAAUUUUCAGUAAUUGAACUACUUGCUUGCAGGUUCCAUAUGAUCAAGGCCAUCUUUUGUUAUCCCUUAUUCUUUUAGUCUUCACAAAAUUUUUGCCCACUAAAAGGAGAAUAAUUUGUUCUAACCUUUGAACCUUGAGCCUUAUGCAUGUCUUGAAAAACCUUUUUGAAAAAUCGUUACCUUGAGUUAAGUUGAGAACAUUUGAUGAGGUACUGAUAAAGGUUCAAGUUUGGGGUUACUAGGAAACAACCCACCUCUCUAGAUAGUGAGCAAUCAAAAGGAACACACAGAUUUUUGGUUUGGAUUAUGGUGAUACUUUUUCUCCAAUGGCGAAAAUGACUUCGGUUCGCCUAUUCAUUGCCAUGGCCGCCCUUCGACAAUGGCCUCUGUAUCAACUUGAUGUCAAAAAUGCUUUCCUUAAUGGUGAUUUGCAUGAAGAAAUUUAUAUGGAGCAACCGCCCGGCUUUGUUGCUCAGGGGGAGUCAUCUGGAUUGGUAUGUCGUCUUCGCAAAUCCCUAUAUGGCCUAAAACAGUCUCCUCGGGCCUGGUUUGGUAAAUUCAGUGGUGUUGUUCAACAAUUUGGUAUGACUCGUAGUGAGGCGGAUCAUUCAGUGUUCUAUCGCCACUCAAGUGCUGGAUGUAUCUACUUAAUAGUGUAUGUCGAUGAUAUUGUUCUCACAGGAAGCGACUACCUUGGCAUCUCUCAGAUGAAACAACACAUUUGUCACCAUUUUCAAACCAAAGAUCUUGGCAAACUCCGGUACUUUUUGGGUAUUGAAGUAGCACAAUCCNNNNNNNNNNNNNNNNNNNNNNNNNNNNNNNNNNNNNNNNUUUCAAACCAGAGAUCUUGGCAAACUCCGGUACUUUUUGGGUAUUGAAGUAGCACAAUCCAAUGAUGGUAUUGUCAUAUCUCAGAGGAAGUAUGCGUUAGANAUCUUGGAGNAAANAGGGUUAAUGAACUGUAAGUCUGUUGAGACACCUAUGGAUCCUAACAUCAAGCUCCUACCAAAUCAGGGGGAGCCUUUCUUAGAUCCUGAACGUUACAGAAGAUUAGUUGGUAAAUUAAACUAUCUUACUGUUACACGUCCUGACAUUUCCUUCGCAGUUAGUGUGGUGAGUCAAUUCCUUAACUCCCCAUGUGAAGACCAUUGGGAUGCAGUUGUUCGCAUAAUGAAGUAUAUUAAGAGAUCACCUGGAAAAGGUUUGCUAUAUGGUCCUAACAACGAUACAAAAAUCGUUUGUUAUUCAGAUGCUGAUUGGGCUGGUUCCCCUUCUGAUAGGAGGUCUACUUUUGGAUAUUGUGUCUCUAUUGGUGGCAACCUGAUAUCUUGGAAAAGUAAGAAGCAAAGUUUUGUGGCUAGGUCCAGCGCAGAAGCAGAAAUUUAUUUAGUGAAUUGAAAUUGUGGCUAUAGAGCUAUGGCAUCAGCUACUUGUGAGCUUGUAUGGCUUAAACAAUUACUUAGUGAAUUGAAAUUUGGAGAUAUCACUCACAUGACACUUAUAUGUGAUAAUCAAGCUGCUCUUCAUAUUAGCGCUAACCCUGUCUUCCAUGAGAGAACCAAGCACAUUGAAGUUGAUUACCAUUUUAUUAGAGAAAAAAUCAUAUCUGGAGAUAUCAAGACUGAGUUCGUUAACUCAAGCAACNNGUUGGCAGACAUAUUCACUAAGUCCUUGUGAGGACCUAGAAUUGAUUAUCUUUGUAACAAGCUUGGAACAUAUGAUUUGUAUACUCCAGCUUGAGGGGGAGUGUUAGAGAUAUUAUAUUUAGUUUAUAUUUAUCUCUUAUCUUUAGUUAGUUUGUUUAUAUUUCUUAUUUGUUUUUUGGGCUUAGCCCAUAUUUCUUCUAUUAUAAAUAAAGGACCCUAUGUGUAUAUUCAACAAAAGGGAGAUUUCCCCUCAUCUCUUUCACUAUUUCAUAACAAGAAAAAGGCAAAAGAAAAGAAAAAGUGAGAGAAUAAAGAUUCAAAAAGAAAAAGAAAGAGCUCACUGCAAGGGAAGGCUGUGAAAAAUAUAAGAGAAUUGUUCUUGAAAGACGAAUUCAUAAAUGUCUCUCUUAACUCAAGGAAUUUUAUUCACCAAAAAAACCAAUUUCCUUCUUAGCCCAACCAAGUUACAAGCCAUGAAAAGCCCUUGUGAUGGCAACCUAUUUGUAAGUAUGUUUGAUUGUGGUUAAAUAAAAGGCAAAAUUAAUUUGUGUGACAUUGUGACAACAGAGAGAAGCACCACACCAUACACCUGAGAGUUUAGUGAUACACUUUUGAAUGCUUGAGUGCUUGAGUGAAACACUUUCCCUGGUGAGGAUUAGUUCUCGGAAUUUCUGAUUGCAUCUUUGCUAGGUUGAUUGAUCACUAUUAAGGACAACAUCUGUUGAAAAUGCACUGACACAUCUGCACAUCUUGACUAAAAUCUUAUGCUGAAGUUGAUAAAAGUGAUUUCUUGUCUUGAAAAAGUCUUUGAAAAAGGUUGAUUCAUUGUAGUGAUUGUUUUGAAAACCUGAGUUGUAGUUAUUUGCUUGAGGACAAGCAAAGUUCUAAGUUUGGGGUUGUGACAACAGAUUAAAAUACCGUUAUUUGCUAUGUGAUUUUGAUACUAAAAGCACCCUUUUUCACUUAGAAACUUGCUUGAACUCAUAUAUUUUCAGUAAAUUAUGUGAAUAAGAGAGUUGAGGUUGAUAUUAACUGUUUUCAAAAACAUUCCCCUCGUUUUGACAGAGAUUGAAGCAAUAUUGGAAGAAGAACUGAAAAGCCAUGAAGACGGAGCUCAAAAGGGGUCAAAAAAGCACCAAGAAGGGAGGAAACUCGAAGCCCAGGCGACAAGAACGAAAAACAGCGAAGCUGAAUUCGACACUGGUUGGCUGGGCAACGGACUCGACGCCCGGGCGACGGACGCUCGAAGCUUGGGCGUCCAAAACUGGCGCCCAAGCCUUAUAGAACCCUUGAAUCAUGCUUGGUGAGCUCCCUACGACGCUUGAGCGUGAUUUCACGUGGACCGGGCCCUGAUUCUGCUCUGAUUUGAUUCUUUUGGACCGCGCCGCACUCUGGUGUUAGGAAACAGGUUGGCUUCGUUUUACACUAAGAGGGGGGGUGAAUUGGUGAUAGUUCAAAUUUAAAAUCUUUUCACAAUCUUGGUAUGAAAGUUGAAAGCUUUUGAUCUUUCCUUGAAAUGCAAGUUAUUGAAAAAUGUAAUGCAGCGGAAAAACAUAGUUGACUGCUAGACAAAUAUAGUCGACUGAAUUAAAAGAGUGUAGAGAUAGAAAAAUUAAACACUGAUUUUUAUUCUGGUUCAGCCAACAAUGCCUACAUCCAGUGUCCUUCCAACCUUGGAAGCAAAUGCACUAUAAUUGUUGCGAUUUUUACAACAAGGAAUUUAUAGAAGCACCACGCAAAAAUAUAAAUCUCCUCUCUAACCCAAAACCAAAUUUAACUGCACACAAAAACCAGAAUUGCAGCAAGAAUCCCCUCUCCUGCAAUCUGCUCCCACGUUGAACAAUCCUCAACGUAUCACUAGCACUCUUCACAGGAUGCCAACCCUAUCACAGCACGCUUCACAGGUUGCCAAGCCUAUCACAGCACACUUCACAGGUUGCCAAGCCUUCAGUCAAAUGUAGUAGUCUUCAUAGGAUAUGAAGCCUUGAAGAUCAAACCAGAAGCACCUUCUUUGUGUAGAUGUUGAUCAAACAGUAAGCGCAAUUGACUCCUCAAUCUGAAUCUCUCUCAAGAAAGAUCACCACCGUCUUCUUAGAGAAUUCUUGGAGCGUCUGAAACUGAGAGCUUUCUCGGAAACAGGACAAUGAAAAUGUUAGAUCAUAAAUGUCUUAGAACAAAUCGUGUUAUGUUUCUAUUUUUAGUUUUCCUGUCAGUUUCAUUUGAAUGACCUACUAAUAGAGUCGACUGUAUUAAAUCAGUUAUAACAAACAGUCAACACACAGGCUCCUCAGUCAACAGAAUUAACACACAUUUAUGACAAUUGACCCAGUUAGUUAAUCCUAACUAACUUUUGAAAAUACAGUCGAAUAAGUGAUCCACAUUGUCGACUGACUCAUGAAAAAACUCUUUGAAAUUCUUUUCAUCUCAAAAUCUCAUCAAGUACACGUGUACAAAAUCUCUACAAAGAUUUUAGCUGAAUCGACUCCAUUACCAGUGUAGUCGACUGAACUGAACCUUUGUUACAACAAAUAUAAGUUCAUAAAAGUACUUGUGAGCUUUUCUUUGGAAAUGUGUAACAGUAAUAAAAAACAUUUUAACACACAUUUUGAUACGCGGGGCCCAAAGCCCAAUGUCUUUAGUGUAGUCUUUCUUUUAUGUACUUUGUAUUGUGUUAGGCAUGUGGGACUUCUAGUCCUAUAAAUAGCCAUGCCUACACUUCUUGUACUUACUUUUGAGAUAAUGAAUUAAUUUUCUGUUGAGUAUACUCCAGACUUAAUUCCUUGAAAGUCAAGGCUGAAGAAUCCAAGGGAUUCCUCAGCCACCUUCCAAUCACAUUGCAUUUCCUCUCAUUCUCCAAUAUCAGAUUUCUCUCUCUCCACCUAACACCACCGUACGCCACUCGUCCAAUUACUUGUUGACUCGUGGUUUCUUACUGCCUCACCAACGCAUAUCUUGGCUGCAUCACUUUUCAUUCCACAUUUCUUUCGAAGCCACAAAUCACUCUACUCAGAAUUCUCUCUCUCGAGAGCAUCUCCACCGCAAGCCAUCUCUCGUCCUUCACAGAUCCAACUCCGUCCACCAAUCAUUUCCUAUUUCCUCACCAGGUAACCCUGAGCUCACCAUUUUUGUUUGAACCACCGGUUGUUUCUCCGGUUUACAUCAUUUUCACCGAUCAAACUGCGAUUCCUUAUUUUUCCACCGAUUAAACCACAACCUUGCUCUGUUCCACCGAUUCAAUCGGUGAGAUCUUCCUUUUCCACCAUCUAAGACCUUCCAAACUCCCAACCCUAACCUUUUCACCGAACAAAUCAUCCCAAUGCUAGGGUUCGUAGUCUUCGCCUUUAGUCUUCCGCUGCGUCUUCAACUUCCAAACCGUGUUUUUCGCUGAUUCUCAAGUUAUCGGCUCAAACCGUGUCAGAUUCGAUGUUCCUCGCCGAUCUGUCUCGGAAUGGGUUGUAACAUGUGGUAAUCAGAGCAAGGUUCUCUUCCACGGGCUUCAAAGAUAAGUUCACGAUCUCUGUGUUUUUCUAGUUUUGUUUCGAAUCUUGUCUUGAUCUGUUAUUCUUUGUCUUCUCUGUUUUGAGAUUCAAUAUUCCGCGUUGUUCAUUGUGAUUCUUUCAUUAUUUUGUGUGAUUUACCUUGUGGUGUUCAAUCUCUUCGUGAUAUGUUGAGUUGUUCUGUGCCUUUGUUUUUUUUUAUUUGAGUCUUAUUCUUAUCUUUAUUCGGUGAAUCAUUUGUUGAGUCAUUUUAUUUUCUAAAUCCAUUUCUGUAAUGUCUUAGUCAUGUUGUUUGUUUGAUUUGUCAUAUGAAUCUGAGUUUAACCUUUGUAAUUGUCAAGUCAUGAGUUAAGUUUGGUCUAUGCCUUGUUUAACUCAUGUCAAUCAUUAAGAGCCGUGAUAUUCAAUUGAAUGAGCUCGAUUUCUGUGGCAACAUUGGAUGAAGUAACAUGUUUCUUGAAUAUGUUUAAUCAGUUUCACCGAUACUGAAUGUGCUUUGAGAGUCUUGGUGUCAUUCAUACUUGGGUUUAGAAUCUUUGCAAAGUUCUGGUUCAAUUUUUCCAGUAUAGUCAUUGAUAUUGUCUAUUUGGCAUCUACUAUGGUCUGAGAUUCUGCAGAAUUGCAUUGAAAUUGAUUGUAACAGUGUUUGAACUUGUUUUUGAACUUCUGAAUGUGGUUAGUAGUGUGCAUUCUGAGCAUAUACCUUGACAACAAUUCUGCAGUUGAGUAUGUAUUUUUUUGGUCACUCAAGGAAGCCUGAGCCCGUGGUAUUUGAAACCAUAACUAUGGCUGAGAGCGAUUAAUUUCUUGUUUUCCUUUGGAUUUUUUUGAUUUGAACCAUGUUUAAUUUCCUUUGGCAAAAAAAAAUCUGAUUAAGUUGAAAAGUUGAUUAGGUGAUCUAUUGUGAAUUGUGACUGAAAAUAGCAAGUUCUAAAGUGUCAUCCAAAUCAGAUUGGGCUAUCAAAUUGUGAUUAAAAAAAAAAAGCAAAGAGAACUGGUGUAAUUCACAAUAGUAUUCACUGUUUCAGUAAACUAUCUCUGCCAAAAUCAGAUAUAACUGUUUUCAUUCAUAACUAGUUCAACUUAAGUCUUUUUCUUGUUUUUCAAAUCUGUUCUAGUGCCAAUCAUAGGUUCAAUUUGUGUGCUAGCCUUUCUAAGUUGUUUUUUUUUUUGCUUGUAUUGAUUGACUUUCUAAGUUUUGUCUACUUCACACGUGUAUUGGAUCUUUUCUUUGUUUUCUUCAUCUAUUCUAGAGUUGUCUUAGGCAAUAGACCUGCUGUGCUUUCAUUGCUUUAAACUGUCGUGCUUGUCUCUAGUAUCUGCCAUUGCUUUUGCUUAGCCUAUCCAUCUCUGGUUUGAGAAGCAUUUUCAUUCUUGGUUUUGGAAUUUGGAAAGAAAGGAUUGUGUGCUUGGUAGCAUCUUAGGUGGUGGUGGUCUAAAAGACUAUCCAGCCUUGUACUGACAAGGGAGAAUCUCCCUUCCAAACCUUUCAUUGGUGAGCUUUAAAAGUUUUAAUGAGAAGCCUGAGUGUUGUGAGUUUUGUAAGGCUGUAUUAGCCUAAUUUCCUUGGCAAAUUUGUGAGCGAAAAUUUGCCUUCACUUAACUGUUGCUAACUAUUUUAUGACUGAUCAUUGUGUAGGAAAUUGAAAGAUCAAGCAACUGUGAUUGUUUGAAACUGGCCCAUGCAGAUUUCAGUUGUUUUCGAAAUUGAUUGAUUGAACUAGUUGAUUUGUCCUGUUUUGCUUGUGAAAAUUGUUAUUGCACACAUUGUUGCAUUCAUCUUAUAAUCUAUUUUCUGAUUCAUUGAUCUAAUCACUGUUUUGAAAAUGAAUUGUGAUUUCAUGGUUUAAUUAGACAUGUAGAAUGCUGAAUCUUGAGUUAAUAAGAUCUGUUUGAACUUGAUAGAUGCAUUAGGAAUUGAUAAUAAUGUACUGAUUGUUUUAUGAGCAUUUCUGAAGUUGCAUCAACUUGUUCAAACUGCCCAUGAUUAAUUUCUACGUUGAGUCACAUCCAAUCUGAGAUCUAAUUCAUUGUCAAUUGUACUUGCUGGAUUAUGUUGUGACUUGUGUGCAGAAUUGAUUUUCCUGGAAUUGUUUUUUAAAUCAGUCUGGUUUAGUUUUGAGUUACCCCUAUUUGCAUCUGGUUUAAUAUUCAUGUUCAUGAGCAUGUUUUACUAGCUUUUGGUGUAAUUCCUGUGUGCAUAACUGAAUUGAAUCAGUCUAGGAAGAAUGUGCAGCAUUGGUGUGUUUUAUGUGCAGAGUUGGACUAUUUGGCAUCAAUAAUUUCUUGAUUAUACAACAGCAACAACACCUCAAUGUGGAGUUUGGAGCAAUUCUGAAUUGAAGAUUUGAUCUGAUUGGAAUUAGGAUUGAAGAGCAUGCGAAAAAAAAUUUUGUAGCAGACUGCAAGUUGAGAGCAAUAAGGAGUUGUGAGCUGCACCAACUGCACCAGACGAGAGAAAGGAAUGGACCCAGAGAGCUUUGUGAUAUAGACCGAGAGAGUUGGCUACAGGAGCUAGCAUAGACCACUGUCCAGAAUGCAACAUUGACCAAGUGAAUCAAGACCGUGGCAACUUAGUGUAAAAGUUGGGUUGUAGCAGUGUUGGGCCGUAGCAGACCAGUAUCAUAGUUUCGUUUGUAUUUUUUUUCUUUUUCUUUGUAUUUGAUGGGCUUGCAGCCGAACUGUCACUGUUAGAUUAGCUUUGUGAUUGUAACAGGCCUUUUAUAAAGUCCAAGAUUGGAAGAGUUCUUAGUGCUCUUUCCAACUCUUGGCAACUUUAUUUGUUUUUCUUUUUUUUUAUUGUUUGAUUGUGUUCACGUUCACGUUUAGGGGUGAUUUAGGCUAGAAGAUUUUGCCUUAUCACAUUAGAGUCCGAGUCCGAAAACGUUUAGGUGUCUUAGAAUCUGUCAAUUGUCGGGUCUUAGAAUUUGUCAAUUGUCUUUGUUUGUGUGUCCUUUGAUUUUAAAAGUAAUUUUACUUUAAAGGGUAUUUAGUGAGUAGCAUAAGACAAAUCUGGCUAAGGCAAAGACUUGGUACUUAAGCAACCCUAGUGGUUCACCUCUCUUACCUGGGAUUUGUCAAGUGUGAAAUCUUUAAACUCUUUAGAUUAGAAGAACUUUUAAGAACAAAGAUGUCUUGUUAUUCAUGCAGUUCCUUUAGUUCAUAUAGUUCAUCUAGAAAUUUUAAUUUUGAUCAGUCCAUUAGUUUUAAAGAAAUUAAAAGAGAACAUGACAAAGCUAGGAGGAAGACUUGUUCCUUUCAUGAGUUUGAUAGGAUUGAAAAUACUUUGUAUAAACAAGCUAGGGAAAAUAUUCCUUUCUUUGGUAAGGAUAUUGGUGCAUUUACUUACUUAGCUUGGGAAAAGGAAAUUGAUGACAUGCAUUUCUUUAUGGUUAGAAGAAGUCAAUCUGAAUCCUAUUAUUCUCGCGAUUGUGAAUCAUAUAUCAUGAAUCUUUACAUUUCUAGAUUUGAAAAACAUGCAAGAGAGUGGUGGGAUGAAAGAGCAUAUCAUGUUAGGAUAGGUAGAAAAUUCCCCAUUCAUAAUUGGAAAGAAUUGAAAGCUUGUUUGAGAAGAAAGUUUGUGCCUCCAAAUAUUCAAAGUAACUUAGAACUUAUGAGAGAGCUUAUUAGAGAAGGCAACUUGUUUAUUCAAAAUUUAAGUGGGUUCUCUCGUAGAGAAAGUGAGUUUUAGAGAAACUUACGAGGCAAUGGGAAGAAUCAAGCAAAUAUAGGAUAGAGAGAAUAAAGAGAGAGCAAGAAAGAAUAGAGAAAGUAAGAGAGAGAAGGGAACAAGUAAGAAGAGAAGAGGAAGAAAAAAAGAGAAGAGAUAAGGAAGAAAGGAUGGAGCAACAGAGAAGAGAAGAGGAAGAAAACGAGAGAAUAAGAAAAGAGAAAGAAAGAAAGGAAGAAGAAGAAGAAAAGAGAGAAGUGGAAGAGAGAUUACAAAAGAAAGAGACGGAAGAAAUUGAAAGGAAGAAAAUGGAAGAGAAGAGAUUGAUGGCAACAUCUCCUACUUUUACAAUAGAAUCCAAACUUUUAAGGGGAGGUUUUCUAUCUUUUCACUUUCCAUUUGUUAUUAAAUGUCCUAAUUCUAUCUUUUCUUUCCAAGGAAUUGCCAUUAAACCUUUUCAAAAGUUGCAAUCUUUAACACAUGGCAAUCAAAAACUUGAGUUAGAGAUAUCUUCCAAGUUAUCACUAACUCAAGACAAAAUUAAAUUUUCAAAUGGAGUAAGGUUUCUUUUUAGUCAUAAACUUGAAAAUUUCAAAGUUAGGAAACCUUCUUCUAGACAUAUUCCUUUAUAUAUCUUAUUGGGUCAAAUAAAACUAAUUAGAGAUAUGUUUGAUGCUUAUUGCAGAUUAAUAUUUGAUCCAGGAAGAACUUCUAUGGAGUUUACAAAUCAGAUUUGAGGACAAAUCCUUUCCAAGAGGGAGGAAAUGAUACACGGGGCCCAAAGCCCAAUGUCUUUAGUGUAGUCUUUCUUUUAUGUACUUUGUAUUGUGUUAGGCAUGUGGGACUUCUAGUCCUAUAAAUAGCCAUGCCUACACUUCUUGUACUUACUUUUGAGAUAAUGAAUUAAUUUUCUGUUGAGUAUACUCCAGACUUAAUUCCUUGAAAGUCAAGGCUGAAGAAUCCAAGGGAUUCCUCAGCCACCUUCCAAUCACAUUGCAUUUCCUCUCAUUCUCCAAUAUCAGAUUUCUCUCUCUCCACCUAACACCACCGUACGCCACUCGUCCAAUUACUUGUUGACUCGUGGUUUCUCACUGCCUCACCAACGCAUAUCUUGGCUGCGUCACUUUUCACGUUUCAUUCCACAUUUCUUUAGAAGCCACAAAUCACUCUACUCAUGAUUCUCUCUCUCGAGAGCGUCUCCACCGCAAGCCAUCUCUCGUCCUUCAUAGAUCCAGCUCCGUCCACCAAUCAUUUCCUAUUUCCUCACCAGGUAACCCUGAGCUCACCAUUUCCGUUCGAACCACCGGUUGUUUCUCCGGUUUACAUCACUUUCACCGAUCAAAUUGCAAUUCCUUAUUUUUCCACCGAUUAAACCACAACCUUGCUCCGUUCCACUGAUUCAAUCGGUGAGAUCUUCCUUUUCCACCAUCUAAAACCUUCCAAACUCCCAACCCUAACCUUUUCACCGAACAAAUCAUCCCAAACCUAGGGUUCGUAGUCUUCGCCUUCAGUCUUUCGCUGCGUCUGCAACUUCCAAACCGUGCUUUUCGCUGAUUCUCAAGUUAUCGGCUCAAACCGUGUCAGAUUCGAUGUUCCUCGCCGAUUUGUCUCGGAACGGGUUGUAACACAUUUCAACACAGGCAUGUUCCAAAUAUAUAACACAUAUUCAAUCAUAGGAAUAUCCAUGUAAAAUAACAAAACAUGUUCAAUAGAGACAAUGUUCAAAACAGUAUAGCAUAUCAACUUAACAUGUAGUACUGGAACAUAUGUAUUGUUAUUAAGCAAUGUGUUGUCAUCAUAAAAAACCAGUUUGAUAUAGAGUUUGUGUUGUCAACAAUCUCAACAAUCUCCCCCUUUUUUGAUGAUGCACAACCAUGAUUAAUAACUCAACCAUGUUUGCACAGUUCCACAUAUAACAGAGUAAAAACAAAUUUCAAAAACAGUUCAGAACAUUCAUUUACUCUGCAAAUACAACACAAAUAUCAUCAAGCAGAUACAAUAUUUUAUAUCAAUUCUCCCCAUAUAGACUUGCAAACAUACACUCAUUAAAACUCUCCCCCUUUGUGCAUUAACAAAAAAGGAAUGCUUGACAUUUAUGCAGAUUUUUAAAAUUAGAGAAGCAUAAAAAAAAAUAUGCAGUUUUUAAAACAGUAUUGAUGCUCUCUCAACCACAAUUUCAUCACAAAAAUAUAUGUAAACUCCCCCUGAAGUGAUACUCCUCCUGUUAUUAUGCUUGAGUUUCAAUUAUAUAUAUGCAAAGCAAUGUCCUUCCUGCAAAACCUUUCAAAAGCCUUUUCCAGAUCAAUUAUAGUGGUUAUGCAAGAAUAAUAUUUCAUCAUAAUUGAAGUCAAUGUAUAAAGAUGCAUGACAGUUAUAGCACAGUUGACUUCAUUCAUAACACAGUCGAAUUAAUCAACCAGUAAAACAGAUAUCCAAACACAUUAGCAAACUACUGGAUUAAUUCAAACUGCAAAUUUUCAUUUCCUUGAAUAAUAAAUAUUACAAAUAGUGAUAGCAAUCAAGGAAAGACAAAAUGUACAAGAAAGCAUCAAAAUAUGGCCUUAUAUGCCAUUUUACAAACUGAAACUAUUCUAGGAGAGGUUGAUGUUAAAAAAAUAGGGGCCACGGUCAUGACAAAGGAAAGACACUUGAGAAAAGAAAGGAUCAGAAAGUUUCAAAAGAGUCUUCAUCAUUUGAUUCUUCUGACAUUAGCAGCGAAUUUCCCUUGUGCAUUCUUUUUAGUGUAUCACAUUUGUCAUGUAGAAUCCUAAUUUGAUUGACAACAUAUUUGUCAAAAUUUGUUUCUGGGAAGAACUGUGAUCCACCAGUUUUUAUCACCUCUUUCUUCUCUUCAAGAUCUUCCAUCAUAUCUUCACCCAUAAAUUUUCAUCCUUUUAUUGUUUUUACAAGUCCAAGAGACAUGAGUGAGUCUUUGUCCAAUGAAUUUGAAGAACUCCACAUACAUUUGUGCUCAUUUUCGACUUCAACCCCAAGAAGUAUAAGUAUUUUUCUUAUCAUACAAGCAUAGGGCAGAUACAAUGAUUUCUUCAGAGCACAGUACUCCACGUGAUCUUUAAUCACCUGUAACCAAUUUGUGGAAAUACUGUUCUUGAUAGCAUGAAGUAAGAAGAUAUCUUCAGUGGUCAUCCGAUCUUUCUUGAUCCUUCCGGGUAGAAUGAUUUUGGCCAGUAUGUGAGCAAGAAUCUUCUCCUCCUUCUGUAACCCCUCAUGUGCAAAGAUCUUUUCAAUUGUAUACACGCCAGGAAAGCAUAGCCAUUCUUGAUAUGUUUGUUUCUUGUCCAACAAGGCAUUUACUUCCGAAAUGGGUAAGUGUGAGAAUAUGCCUUCAGAUGGUAAAUUGGCCAUAAUUUUCCACAAAGUAUCAUCAAUAUGAAUGUCUACUCCCUUUACUCUAGAAAAAAAUAUCUCCAUUCUAUAUCCAAAAAUUGUGAUGGAAUACCUUUACCAGAUCAGGAUACCAUGCACCCUUCAAUUAUAUGAAGUCCGACAGGCCUUGUUCUUCUAACCAGUAUGGAAAUGUAAAUCCUUCACCUUUGAAUAUAUCAAGAUUGGUGUUCAUCGGAGGGACUACUGCCUUUACGGACCCAUUCAUGAGCUUUAAUCUUUCUUCAUCAUUUUUAAACCAGUUUGUCGAAGAGGCAUCACCCAUAUUGAUUGUUGUUUGGGAGUUCUUACUCGCAGACAUGCUUGAAGAACCCAUUACAAGAAGAUUCUUUGAAACAUUCUAGGAGACUUUUGAGUAGAGAGAAGUGUGACAAGACAGAAGUAGUUUAGAAUGAGAUUGUGUCCUAAAUAAGGAGGGAAAAAAUGCGCGCCUCGUUUAAUGUUUGAUUAGUCAGAAUUAAUUUUUCUGUUUCAGAACAAUAGGAAACAGGGGACAAAUUCGAAUGUAUUAAUAUGGGGAGUCGACUUUGGCUCGUUAAAAAUCUUUUUCAAGCAAAUUCAACCAAUCAAUCAAUUAAGCACACAAUGCAAACAAUCAUACAACAACAAACAAUUAACAUAUUCAUGAUACAACAAUCAGAUACAGAUUUACCAGUUGUAGACCCUCAAGGUUUUCGAAAUUUUCCAUAGUUGAUUCAUCCUUGAGAUAGUUCUGUAUUAGCUACAUAACCUGUAAAAUAGUUAAGUUUUGGUUGCUGGUACCCAUUUAAUUUUGGGUCCUUGAUUGUUAGUUCUUGUCACGUGUUCCUUUGGUAUCCAUACAUAUAAUCCUUGAGGAACAACAACAUUUCUAUAGUAACAAUUUCUAACAGUAUGACCAACACAUUUGCAAUAAAAACAUGCAUUUCUAGCAGGUUUUCUUAAACCAUUAAGCUUUCUAGCAUUAAUUCUGUUAGAGUAACCUUUAAAUCCAAUUCCCUGCCUAUUAUUGUUUCUGCUAGAGCAAUUUAAUACAGUAUCAAGAUUGUCAAUAGCUUGAGCAAACCUAGCUAGCUUGCUAGUCAAGUAAUUAAUCUUUUCAACAUGUUUAGGACAUUUUUUACAAUCUUUUUCCACAGUAACAGUUUUAAUUUCAACACUCUUAGCAGAAGAUAAGGCUAUUUCCAAUUCCUUUUCUAAUCUUUCAUUUUCAGAAACAAUGUUAUUGAUUCGAUUUUCAAAAUCUCUUCUCUUAGAGCUCAGUCGAUUUACCUUGUACUGCAAUCACAUUGCUUCAACAUGUAAUUCUUUGAAAGCAUCUUGCAGCAGAUCAUAUUUGACUUCUAUAGGCUCAUUUGAUAUGUCUACAUCACGGUCAUAAUCAUCCCAUGACACACCUGUCAUAUAGCAUAAGUUUGAUUCCUCUUCUUGAUUAGAAUCUUCAUCACUUGAGCUUUCAAAUUCAGAAUUCUCCCAAGCAAUGUAGGCUCCUUUCUUCUUCAUGUUUCUGCUUUGAGGAAAUCUUUUCUUUCCUUUCUGCUUCGGUUGUAACUCAGGACAUUUAGGCUUGAUGUGGCCUUCUUUUCCACAUUCAUAACACGGGACAGUGUUUGUGCUGAAGCUUUCUUCUUGCUUUGACCUGCAUGGUUAGACAGUUGACUAUCAUUUUGCAUAAGUCGACUAAAUUUUCUUACCAUCAAGGUCAUCAAUUCUUUGUCAUCUGUUAAGUCCCUGACAAGUGUACCAGAUCGUUAUCAAGUAAUAUAAAAUGGGUAAUUCCAAGUAUCGUUUCCCAAAGGACUCUUAGGCCUUAGUUUUCAUGUAAACUAAUCGCGUAAGACUUGAGAAAAGAAUUAAAUUGAGUUGUUAAUGCAAAGAACAAAAUUAAACAUGCAAAUGCAAUGAUUCAAUUGGCUUUAAGAAACUAUGGAUGAAUGGAGUUGUUGGGGUUUACAAUUUCAUCUUAUCCACCCUCAUAUAUCUACUCUUCUUAUUUAAUUAGCUUAUUUAUCAUAUUGUCAUGCAAAUUUUCUUAGUCACUUAACCCAAACCCUUGGUGAAAAGAGCCUAUUACUAAUUAUCGGCUUGCUAUCCCUAGCCUCCCCUAGUAAUUAAUAAUGCAUGAUAAGCGGAAGCAAAAUACAUUUGAUUGUCCUACCCCUAUCCCUAGGCGGCAUUAACAUAUUCAAGGAAUUCAAACCAGUUCAUGAUAUUACUGUACGUCCCCGUAUCAAUAAAGACAAAAACCAUUUACCGAAUGAGUUAAACGAUAAAAGCAUUAAGCAAAGGUGAAGAACCCAACAAUUGAUAAAUCAAGCAUAUGCAAGCAUAUAAAAUAAGAAUUUGGAUAUAUGAGAGUUUCAAAAGAUUACAUUGUUCCCCAACAACCUAGGGUUUAGUUCCUCAUGGUGAAACAAGAUGAAAUAUUAUGAAAGAAUGGAAGAAAUAACCCUAAACUUGGUAGGUUAGAGCCUAAGCAUCCAAGGAACCUCCUCCAAGGUGUGUGGAAUAGCUCUAGAUGUUUCUCUUUGUCAAAACAAUAGGGUUUCAAGUCGCACUAGGGCUAUAUAUAGGCCAAAAAGAUAACAAAAUGAUCACAGAAUCCGCAAAAUAAAAACUGACAACUGCUCAACCCCUAAUUUGACCGCUCAGCGGUUUCCCCUUAAUCGCAGGACCGCUCAACUUCCAAAACUGCCGCUCAGCGCCAAAAACUGACCGCUCAGCGCCAAAAACUGACCGCUCAACGCCCAUUUUCACUGCUCAGUGAUGAAGGUCGAAAAACAGUGAUUUUCAUAUGUCAAUUUGGACCAAAUUACACUCUUUACUACUCGGAAUGAGCUUAGACUCAAGCAAAACUCAAUAAAUGAGUCUGAAGAGAGUCAAACGUUGUUUUUAGCUAUUUUAUGUUUAUUUUGAAUUUUUUUGUAGCUAAUUUGAGAAAAGUGAGAAUGGAGUUAAAGAUACAGGUCGUUGACUCAAGAAGAGAACAGAAAAA
rnacentral:lncRNA from 1 species